GAUGAACGCUGGCGGCGUGCCUAAUACAUGCAAGUCGAGCGAACGGACGAGAAGCUUGCUCCUCUGAUGUUAGCGGCGGACGGGUGAGUAACACGUGGAUAACCUACCUAUAAGACUGGGAUAACUUCGGGAAACCGGAGCUAAUACCGGAUGAUAUUUUGAACCGCAUGGUUCAAAAGUGAAAGACGGUUUUGCUGUCACUUAUAGAUGGAUCCGCGCUGCAUUAGCUAGUUGGUAAGGUAACGGCUUACCAAGGCAACGAUGCAUAGCCGACCUGAGAGGGUGAUCGGCCACACUGGAACUGAGACACGGUCCAGACUCCUACGGGAGGCAGCAGUAGGGAAUCUUCCGCAAUGGGCGAAAGCCUGACGGAGCAACGCUGCGUGAGUGAUGAAGGUCUUCGGAUCGUAAAACUCUGUUAUUAGGGAAGAACAUAUGUGUAAGUAACUGUGCACAUCUUGACGGUACCUAAUCAGAAAGCCACGGCUAACUACGUG
rnacentral:rRNA from 1 species